GGAGGGUGCGAGCGUUGUCCGGAAUCACUGGGCGUAAAGGGCGCGUAGGUGGCUCGUUAAGUGGUCGGUGAAAUCCCGGGGCUCAACUCCGGGGCUGCCGGUCAGACUGGCGGGCUAGAGCACGGUAGGGGCAGAUGGAAUUCCCGGUGUAGCGGUGGAAUGCGUAGAUAUCGGGAAGAACACCAGUGGCGAAGGCGUUCUGCUGGGCCGUUGCUGACACUGAGGCGCGACAGCGUGGGGAGCAAACAGGAUUAGAUACCCUGGUAGUCCACGCCGUAAACGAUGGGCACUAGGCGUCGGGGGGAGCGACCCUCCCGGUGCCGUCGCUAACGCGUUAAGUUGUCCGCCUGGGGAGUACGGCCGCAAGGUUG
rnacentral:rRNA from 1 species